rnacentral:rRNA from 1 species
GACGAACGCUGGCGGCGUGCCUAAUACAUGCAAGUAGAACGCUGAAGGAGGAGCUUGCUUCUCUGGAUGAGUUGCGAACGGGUGAGUAACGCGUAGGUAACCUGCCUGGUAGCGGGGGAUAACUAUUGGAAACGAUAGCUAAUACCGCAUAAGAGUAGAUGUUGCAUGACAUUUGCUUAAAAGGUGCAAUUGCAUCACUACCAGAUGGACCUGCGUUGUAUUUGCUAGUUGGUGGGGUAACGGCUUACCAAGGCGACGAUACAUAGCCGACCUGAGAGGGUGAUCGGCCACACUGGGACUGAGACACGGCCCAGACUCCUACGGGAGGCAGCAGUAGGGAAUCUUCGGCAAUGGACGGAAGUCUGACCGAGCAACGCCGCGUGAGUGAAGAAGGUUUUCGGAUCGUAAAGCUCUGUUGUAAGAGAAGAACGAGUGUGAGAGUGGAAAGUUCACACUGUGACGGUAUCUUACCAGAAAGGGACGGCUAACUACGU